UUUGUUUGUGUUUUUCUUUUAUGCAUCAUCAUGUAUCAUGCAUCAUAUCAUCCAUGUUUUAACUAAAUAAAAUUAUUUUAUAAACCCUAAAAUAUUUUGUUUUCUCUCUCAUAUGGUUUAAUAAAACCUCCCAUCUUCUUAUGUUCAAAGAAAAACCAUAUACAAAUUAUUUUAUAAAUGUUUGGAAAAACUGUCUACAAUAAAAUAAAGCAUUUCAAAUCUUUUUCAAACUCUCCUCUUUCUCUUCUUUAGACGAGAGAUAAAUCUGAAGAAAAAAAAAUACCAAGAAGCCUGAAGCAGCUCAACUUCCUUUAAUCCAACAUCUCCACCUUGCCUUCCUGGACGAGACACGCAGGGAGCGUGACCACGUCCACUCCUCACGCGUGCAGCGUCAGCAGCCGUGAUCCUUUUUCUCAUCUCUGCUUUUUCUGGACGCUCCCCAGCCACAGCUCCUCAUCGCCUCCUUUCGCUUUCCCCUUCUCCACGAAAGAAACAGAGAGGGUUUCCCUGGAAACGAUGGCGCCGCCGUGUGAAGAUCGCCGUCGCCCCGUCAACUCCAGACGCCCCGAGGAAUACCAAGGCCAUCAUGAACUUCUCCUUGCCACGCUGAACACCCUCGACCGAAGAAAUCGCUGAUUCGAGCUCGGAAUCGACGUCAACAACCUCGUCUCUUUUCCGAGUCCGGCGACGAAUUCGUUGUUCCGUCGCCGUUCGAACUCCUCCGCUUCCACCGACGUGCUCUUCGGUUUGACGGUGUCCGGCGCCGGCUCUCUCCGGUGACCUCCUGGUGGUGGCGCCGCCUCUCCUUGAAUCCCUGCAGCGAGGCGCACCUCCUGUGCCUGCUUCCCUGUCCCAGCCUGCUCCCGUCCACCGGUCCCGUGCUCGAUCGGAACCUGCUGCCACGGUGCUCCGUCGAGCUCUGCUUUCCAUCUUCAUCUUCCCUGACGGCUACCGGCGCUCACACGACAGUUCGGCCACCUUCGGCUUCUGCCUGCUUCAACGAGCACAUCAACAAGCCUGGGUAUGAAGAUCGGUACGAUGGAGAACGACGCUAGCAAGGUUACCCUUCCGGCUUGGCCUGGGCAGGGUUAUGGACGCCACUGGUUAUCUUCAGGACUCUUAGUCCAUAUUUGUAUCUUGUCCGUACUCGGACAUAUUUGAUCUUCUGUAUGAUUUGGAUCUUAUGUUGUAUAUUGUAUCUUGACUCGUUGGAGUCGUUGUUGUAAUAUAUCUGUUUCUUGUGGGCUCUAUUGUAAUCCUGUUGUAAUGUUACCGCUCGUGAUUGAUUCCACCCGCAUCGCGUGCAUGCUUCGGCGUGUACGAGGCGCUUGGUGGUGCGUCUCCUAAAAUCGAUAUCGUGCGGAUUUCGGCGGGUUCGCUGGGAUCCUCAUGGUACCGGUUUUGGGGCGUCACAAGUUGGUAUCAGAGCAUCAGGUUGUCGAUACCCCACUAGUCCAGCCAUUAGGAUAACCUUGCCAACGGUCGUUGAGUUAGAGUGUCCAAACUAUUUUCUAAAACUCGUUGGAUAGUUCUGACUAGCUCUGAUUUUUCUUCUUACCUAUAUUCUUUCUCAUCUUACCUUUGCGAGUUUUGAGUCUUCUCUCUUAUCUGAGUUUUCCGAGUCUUAGGUUCUGACGUGGGUUGGACGAUCUUUGCCCCUCACCUAUUAGGUCCGAUCUUCGGAGGUCCUGACAAAAGCGCAUCAUCGACAGCGGAACAACGACUCCUUGUUAGUGGUGUCGACCGAUCUAUAUGGAGCAAGAACUCUUGUUAGUGGUGUCGAGAAGAUCAACACUUCGCCAGAAGAAGGUUCCACCUCGAGGUCGGGUGAUUAUCAACAUGGUACAAGAAGACCCGAUAGUUUAACCAACUCCCCCUUAGGUUGACGUGGAACCUCGGGGCGAGGUUCCUUCUUAGUGGUGUCGAUUGUAACGGCCCAGGGUAGCACCACUAUUAGAUUUGUUUGUGUUUUUCUUUUAUGCAUCAUCAUGUAUCAUGCAUCAUAUCAUCCAUGUUUUAACUAAAUAAAAUUAUUUUAUAAACCCUAAAAUAUUUUGUUUUCUCUCUCAUAUGGUUUAAUAAAACCUCCCAUCUUCUUAUGUUCAAAGAAAAACCAUAUACAAAUUAUUUUAUAAAUGUUUGGAAAAACUGUCUACAAUAAAAUAAAGCAUUUCAAAUCUUUUUCAAACUCUCCUCUUUCUCUUCUUUAGACGAGAGAUAAAUCUGAAGAAAAAAAAAUACCAAGAAGCCUGAAGCAGCUCAACUUCCUUUAAUCCAACAUCUCCACCUUGCCUUCCUGGACGAGACACGCAGGGAGCGUGACCACGUCCACUCCUCACGCGUGCAGCGUCAGCAGCCGUGAUCCUUUUUCUCAUCUCUGCUUUUUCUGGACGCUCCCCAGCCACAGCUCCUCAUCGCCUCCUUUCGCUUUCCCCUUCUCCACGAAAGAAACAGAGAGGGUUUCCCUGGAAACGAUGGCGCCGCCGUGUGAAGAUCGCCGUCGCCCCGUCAACUCCAGACGCCCCGAGGAAUACCAAGGCCAUCAUGAACUUCUCCUUGCCACGCUGAACACCCUCGACCGAAGAAAUCGCUGAUUCGAGCUCGGAAUCGACGUCAACAACCUCGUCUCUUUUCCGAGUCCGGCGACGAAUUCGUUGUUCCGUCGCCGUUCGAACUCCUCCGCUUCCACCGACGUGCUCUUCGGUUUGACGGUGUCCGGCGCCGGCUCUCUCCGGUGACCUCCUGGUGGUGGCGCCGCCUCUCCUUGAAUCCCUGCAGCGAGGCGCACCUCCUGUGCCUGCUUCCCUGUCCCAGCCUGCUCCCGUCCACCGGUCCCGUGCUCGAUCGGAACCUGCUGCCACGGUGCUCCGUCGAGCUCUGCUUUCCAUCUUCAUCUUCCCUGACGGCUACCGGCGCUCACACGACAGUUCGGCCACCUUCGGCUUCUGCCUGCUUCAACGAGCACAUCAACAAGCCUGGGUAUGAAGAUCGGUACGAUGGAGAACGACGCUAGCAAGGUUACCCUUCCGGCUUGGCCUGGGCAGGGUUAUGGACGCCACUGGUUAUCUUCAGGACUCUUAGUCCAUAUUUGUAUCUUGUCCGUACUCGGACAUAUUUGAUCUUCUGUAUGAUUUGGAUCUUAUGUUGUAUAUUGUAUCUUGACUCGUUGGAGUCGUUGUUGUAAUAUAUCUGUUUCUUGUGGGCUCUA